GUGUUUGAAAAAAGGAGAGAUGGUUGGCAUCUCCCUUGACAGGGACGGGAACAGCUUUCGAGCUCACCUGUUACCCACCCUUGUAGUGGAUCAAAAUAGGAUAAGAAUUGUCCGCCCUUCUAUUUUU